rnacentral:rRNA from 1 species
AACGAACGCUGGCGGCGUGGAUAAGACAUGCAAGUCGAACGGGAUUACAUCGGUAGCAAUACCGGUGUGAUUCAGUGGCGAAAGGGUGCGUAACACGUGGGGAAUCUGCCGAGAUGUGGGGGAUAGCUCGCCGAAAGGCGAAUUAAUACCGCAUGUGACUAUCGAAGACAUCUUCGAGACGUCAAAGCCGGGGCAACCUGGCGCAUCUUGAUGACCCCGCGGCCUAUCAGCUAGUUGGUGAGGUAACGGCUCACCAAGGCUAUGACGGGUAGCUGGUCUGAGAGGACGACCAGUCACACUGGAACUGAGACACGGUCCAGACACCUACGGGU